rnacentral:rRNA from 1 species
UACGUAGGGACCGAGCGUUGUCCGGAAUCAUUGGGCGUAAAGGGCGCGUAGGCGGCUUGAUAAGGUUGCGGUGAAAGCCCGGGGCUCAACCCCGGGUCGGCCGUGGCAACUGUCGAGCUGGAGCACUGUAGAGGCAGGUGGAAUUCCGGGUGUAGCGGUGGAAUGCGUAGAGAUCCGGAAGAACACCGGUGGCGAAGGCGGCCUGCUGGGCAGUGGCUGACGCUGAGGCGCGACAGCGUGGGGAGCAAACAGG